rnacentral:rRNA from 1 species
AUGAACGCUGGCGGCGUGCUUAACACAUGCAAGUCGAACGAAGCACCUUGAUUUGAUUCUUCGGAUGAAGAUCUUGGUGACUGAGUGGCGGACGGGUGAGUAACGCGUGGGUAACCUGCCUCAUACAGGGGGAUAACAGUUAGAAAUGACUGCUAAUACCGCAUAAGACCACAGCACCGCAUGGUGCAGGGGUAAAAACUCCGGUGGUAUGAGAUGGACCCGCGUCUGAUUAGGUAGUUGGUGGGGUAACGGCCUACCAAGCCGACGAUCAGUAGCCGACCUGAGAGGGUGACCGGCCACAUUGGGACUGAGACACGGCCCAA